GAUGAACGCUGGCGGCGUGCUUAACACAUGCAAGUUGAACGAAGUGGCGGAUGGGCGAGUUACACUUGAGGAACCUGCCUUUCACAGGGGAAUAUCACUGGGAAACCAGUGCUAAUACCGCAUAGUUAAAGAUGGGCUCGCGCCUGAUUAGCUAGUAGGUGAGGUAACGGCUCACCUAGGUGAUGAUCAGUAGCCGGGCUGACGGUAGAACAGCGGCAUUGGGACUGAGACACGGCCCAGACUCCUACGGGAGGGAGCAGUGGGGAAUAUUGGGCAAUGGCGCAAGCCUGACCCAGCAACGCCGCGUGAAGGAAGACGGUCUUCGGAUUGUAAACCUCUUUCCAUCGAACAGGGUAGGUGGAGAAGAAGCGCCGGCUAACUACGUGCCAGCAGCCGCGGUAAUAC
rnacentral:rRNA from 1 species